CAGUGGAGACGUGUUAUGAUAAAGUUAAAACAGUGAAAAAAAGAAAGAGGAUUCUUUUCUUAGAAGAUAGCAGUGAUGAAGAUACAGAUGACGAAUCAGAUUAUGAAAGCAACAGUGAAGAUGAACUUGAUAACCUGAUAUCAGAUGAUGAAAACACGCAAGAACAUCAAUGUGCUAUUUGUUUACUCAACUUCAAUUCACAAGUUCUUGGUGUUCCCAACAGCUGUCAACAUGUUUUUUGUCUAUUAUGCAUACAGGAGUGGGCUAAGAAUAUCAAUACAUGUCCUGUAGAUAGAAAGGUUUUCCACAAGAUUGGCGUAAAGAAAACAUAUGAAGGAAUCAUUAUUGAGGAGAUCAAAGUUGAAGACAAAACCCAAAAAGAUGACAACGAAGAUGACGAACCAACUUUUUGUGAGGUUUGUGGCAGUAGAGAUAAUGAAGAUACAAUGUUACUUUGCGAUGGAUGUGAUAAAGGUUAUCAUCUUGUAUGUCUAACGCCGCCUCUACGCAACAUUCCAAUCGGAGAUUGGUUUUGUCCUAGUUGUUCUGUGCACAGCACAAACAUUCACUUAUUAAAUAAUGAAGAAGGACAAAACACACAAGAAAAUACACAACUCUCGACAUGAUGAUAUCGUGGAUUAUUCUCAGUUUCAUAUAAUUUCUUCUGAUGAUGAAAUGAAUGAAAUAAUGGAGAGAACAGAGUUACUUAAUGGAAUGACUACAACGCAGACCGUUCGCCGUGCAAGAACUGUGGCGACAUCGCGACCUCGGAGGAGGAGAAGGAGAAGAAGGAGAAGACGUGUUCUACGACGUCAAGGCAGAAAAAAACUAAAAUCAAAGAAUACAGAUGGAGGACGUAAUUCAAAAAAGAAAAAAACGCUCUCGCCCGUCAAAAAUAUCGCAGCUAAAUCACGAUUUUUGAUGCCUCAUGAAAUGCUACCGACGCAAUCGUUUACCUUAUUUGGUAGAGACAAUGAUUGCUUACCUGGGAUCGAACCUUGUGUGACGUCAUCAGUUUCCAAGCCUUCCUCGACCGAAAAGUUCCAGACCUCCUCCACGUCAGAUGUCUGGGAUCCAUAUUUUCCAGUCUCGACAAACUUGCCGAUCCAUCGCUGACGGUGGAUCGUGAGGGACAAUUGAUUUGUAACGAAAGGUCUUAUGAUGCUAAACGACAUCUAAACUCGUGCGAUAAUAUAAAGAAAGUUGUUUCAUCUGAUAAUCACCGCUAUCCGAAGGAUGUAAAAAAAGAAAGCUCGCAUUUCAUCAAGUCUAAUUGCAAGAAAUCAGUUGAACCAAACAAAACAAUGGUUUCCUCUUCAUACUUUGACAAGCCGUCACAAUGUAAACCCAUAAAGUUGGGAAACAACGUUGCCUCGACUCCCUGUGAAGAACUAAGAUCUUGUAGCGUUUCAAAGUCUAAUGUGGACAUGUCGGCGAAAAAUUUAGGUUCAAGUACGUCUUCACAAGAAGAAAUGAAAUUGAAAUCGGGAAUCGAAAGACUUCUUCGUAAAGAAAGAGCAAGUCGCGAAAUAAAACAUGUUUUGAAACCAUAUUUCAAGCGUGGGGAAGUUUCAAAAGAACAAUAUAAAUAUAUUUAUCAACAUGCUUUUGAAAAGAUAACCCAAUCACGUCAUCCUGUCGUGUCACGUGACGUCGCCCGUUUAAUAAGUACAUACGUAAAGAAGCUUUACAAAUGAACCAGUCACGUUAUCCUGUUUUAUCACGUGAUGUUGGCCGUUUAAUAAGGACAUACGUAAAGAAGCUUUACAAAUGAACCAGUCACGUUAUCCUGUUUUAUCACGUGAUGUUGGCCGUUUAAUAAGGACAUACGUAAAGAAGCUUUACAAAUGAACCAGUCACGUUGUCCUGUUUUAUCACGUGAUGUUGGCCGUUUUAAUGCAGACAUGCACGGAGAUUCUCAAACCAGUGUUGUGUGACGUCAUGUUGGACAUUUAAUGGCGUACAUAAACAUUUAUCACGUUAACUUGUUUGUAAAGUAAUGAAAUUUUAUAAAAGAUGUUUACUGUAUUUGUACCAAGCUUAUGAAAAUCGAAGAAACGCUUGAGAGAACUCAAGAGCAGAACAUGGUAUGAUAGUAAUGCGUAAUAAACAUUGCUAGUACUUACUACUAAAUACUGCAGGCUCACAUACUUCUUCUGUACAUAGUUCUUUUGUAGUUUAUUGACAAUUGCCAUAAGAUAUCAUGGGCGGACAAACGCAGUCAGGCAUUAUUCCCGGGAAAAUUGUGUAAAUUAGGUCAUUUAAGAUUGAAAGUGUACCGAACGCCCCCACCCUAAAAAUGUUGGCCCGUACGCUCAUGGCAAUUGUUUGUGUUGUAUUGUUAGUCAAACUCUAGAAGAUGUGACUGAAAUACAGUCACCGUAAGUUUUGUGUUGUUAGACCAUCUCUAGAAUAUGUGAGCAAAGUUAACAAAGAUUUAUCGAGUCUUCAUCUUAAAA